ACUUGAAUAUUAGGAGUUAUGGGCUUUAAAUUCAAAGAAUUUGGCGGUAUUUUAGUCUUGUUAGAGGAACCUGUUCUGUAAGCGAUAUUACACGUAUAAUCUUACUUACUUUUGUUUUAGCUUGUAUACCAUCAUUAUUAGAUAACCUUUAUUGAGAGAGUUGUUGGCCUAUAAAAAAAUUAGAUAUAUUAGAUCAAGGUGCAGCUAAUGGGUAAGUAGUAAUGGGUUACAAUGAAAUUUAUUUAAACGAAUUAAUGUUUGAAAAAUUAUUAUGAAGGAGGAUUUAAUUGUAACAUAAAUUUAAUAAGUUUAUGUGGUAUGAGAACUAGAAUAUGUACAUAU
rnacentral:rRNA from 1 species